UGAGGGAGUUUUGACCACAAAACCCAAACUUAGUUUAAAGUACCCACUACAUAACUUCGCUAUGAAUUUAUCUCUUUUCACUAGUCCGACAUUUUGGAAAUAAAACAGACGCGAGUGCUGGUGAAAUUUAUGCUGCAAUUCCGGAACAAAAAUAAGAAUACUGCGCACUCCAUCGGAUGGUUUUGUUUUUAUCGGUUGAAGCUUGAGAUCGCAAAACGUCCUACUGGAGGUGCUUGAUCCGCAGUCGGUACAGCGCAGUAACGCGGUUAAAGUACGGUUAGGUGUGGCCUUUAAUGAAGGGACAAUCGAUUGGUGCCUGGCAUCAACUUUAUCGGAAUCGUCCCAUCCGGAUCCAUCCAGUUCCAACCCGUCCAAACAUAACCUCAAACUACUGAGCAGCAGCCACCAGCCGGCGAAAGAGUUGGUAGAACAACGCACUGCCUGGAAGAUUUAAUGAAGGCACACAGGAUUGUGUCGAGUUAUCAAUCGGUUCAAUUUUGAACGGUGGGCCAGGCGUUUGCGUUGGACAUGGAAACGGUACAGAUACAAGGCCUCGACAUUUUAAAGAUAUCCAUUUUUUGACACCUAAAGCAGUAGUUGUGUGUAAGCAUAUGUAGAGGCAGAGUCAGGAUUGUUAUUAUCGGCUUGAUUCCCAUUCAUACUUAAAUACUCCGAGAGAGACAGUUGGUGCAAUAUAAAAUUAAUAUUAAUUUUACUGGAAUUGAAAUGUAGGAAAUUCAGAUGAUUAUAUUUAGUAGUAUAGUUGAUUUAUACAUGUAUUUCAAGAAUAUCUGUGUGCACAGCUAAAACUUAAGACACAUUGCAAUGACACACAAAAACCAAAGCAUUAGAUAAUUUGAAUAGCUUUUAAAUUCAUACAUUAUGUUAACAAAAUUCAUACAUAAUGUUAAAAAACCUGAAUUGUUAUUGAUUAAAAAUUUACAUUUAACAUUCAAAUGAGUUUUUUCAGCGGAAGUGUUAGAUAACUUUGCAAAAACUAACAGCGAUCAUGUUGUUAUUCUCGACUCAAAAUUGAAAAAUGGGAAAAUUUUUAAAAAUAAUUGUUAAUAUUUUAAAAAAUAUGUAUAAAAAUGUUUUUCGAUGAAAUAAUAUAUCAAAAGAAGGCUAGUUUAAAACAGAAAACAAAAAUACUCUGAAAAGUAAUGAGUGAUGAAAAAAAAAGAAAUCAUUACAAAUAUAAUGAAUUGAAAGUGCAUAUGCUAAAUAUCGCUAUUAUAAAAACUUUUGUAAUACAUGUGGAAAAAAUGCGUGAAAAUACGAAGUGUUAUUAGAAAAAAAAAUUGCGAAUAAAUUCCUAUUAAAUCAUGAUUUUUUCCAAUUAUUCAUUCUUAAUUUAUAACCCUAUUUGGCAGCUCAAGAAUGAU